GGAUCCAGACUUUGAUCCUGGCUCAGGAUGAACGCUAGCUACAGGCUUAACACAUGCAAGUCGAGGGGAAACGACAUCGAAAGCUUGCUUUUGAUGGGCGUCGACCGGCGCACGGGUGAGUAACGCGUAUCCAACCUGCCCACCACUUGGGGAUAACCUUGCGAAAGUAAGACUAAUACCCAAUGACGUCUCUAGAAGACAUCUGAAAGAGAUUAAAGAUUUAUCGGUGAUGGAUGGGGAUGCGUCUGAUUAGCUUGUUGGCGGGGUAACGGCCCACCAAGGCUACGAUCAGUAGGGGUUCUGAGAGGAAGGUCCCCCACAUUGGAACUGAGACACGGUCCAAACUCCUACGGGAGGCAGCAGUGAGGAAUAUUGGUCAAUGGACGAGAGUCUGAACCAGCCAAGUAGCGUGCAGGAUGACGGCCCUAUGGGUUGUAAACUGCUUUUAUAAGGGAAUAAAGUGAGUCUCGUGAGGCUUUUUGCAUGUACCUUAUGAAUAAGGACCGGCUAAUUCCGUGCCAGCAGCCGCGGUAAUACGGAAGGUCCGGGCGUUAUCCGGAUUUAUUGGGUUUAAAGGGAGCGUAGGCCGGAGAUUAAGCGUGUUGUGAAAUGUAGACGCUCAACGUCUGCACUGCAGCGCGAACUGGUUUCCUUGAGUACGCACAAAGUGGGCGGAAUUCGUGGUGUAGCGGUGAAAUGCUUAGAUAUCACGAAGAACUCCGAUUGCGAAGGCAGCUCACUGGAGCGCAACUGACGCUGAAGCUCGAAAGUGCGGGUAUCGAACAGGAUUAGAUACCCUGGUAGUCCGCACGGUAAACGAUGGAUGCCCGCUGUUGGUCUGAAUAGGUCAGCGGCCAAGCGAAAGCAUUAAGCAUCCCACCUGGGGAGUACGCCGGCAACGGUGCAACUCAAAGGAAUUGACGG
rnacentral:rRNA from 2 species